CUGUGAGCUCGAUGAGUAGGGCGGGACACGUGGUAUCCUGUCUGAAUAUGGGGGGACCAUCCUCCAAGGCUAAAUACUCCUGACUGACCGAUAGUGAACCAGUACCGUGAGGGAAAGGCGAAAAGAACCCCGGCGAGGGGAGUGAAAAAGAACCUGAAACCGUGUACGUACAAGCAGUGGGAGCACGCUUCGGCGUGUGACUGCGUACCUUUUGUAUAAUGGGUCAGCGACUUAUAUUCUGUAGCAAGGUUAACCGAAUAGGGGAGCCGAAGGGAAACCGAGUCUUAACUGGGCGUUAAGUUGCAGGGUAUAGACCCGAAACCCGGUGAUCUAGCCAUGGGCAGGUUGAAGGUUGGGUAACACUAACUGGAGGACCGAACCGACUAAUGUUGAAAAAUUAGCGGAUGACUUGUGGCUGGGGGUGAAAGGCCAAUCAAACCGGGAGAUAGCUGGUUCUCCCCGAAAGCUAUUUAGGUAGCGCCUCGUGAAUUCAUCUCCGGGGGUAGAGCACUGUUUCGGCAAGGGGGUCAUCCCGACUUACCAACCCGAUGCAAACUGCGAAUACCGGAGAAUGUUAUCACGGGAGACACACGGCGGGUGCUAACGUCCGUCGUGAAGAGGGAAACAACCCAGACCGCCAGCUAAGGUCCCAAAGUCAUGGUUAAGUGGGAAACGAUGUGGGAAGGCCCAGACAGCCAGGAUGUUGGCUUAGAAGCAGCCAUCAUUUAAAGAAAGCGUAAUAGCUCACUGGUCGAGUCGGCCUGCGCGGAAGAUGUAACGGGGCUAAACCAUGCACCGAAGCUGCGGCAGCGACACUAUGUGUUGUUGGGUAGGGGAGCGUUCUGUAAGCCUGUGAAGGUGUGCUGUGAGGCAUGCUGGAGGUAUCAGAAGUGCGAAUGCUGACAUAAGUAACGAUAAAGCGGGUGAAAAGCCCGCUCGCCGGAAGACC
rnacentral:rRNA from 1 species